UUACAGGCAGUUGCAACAGCGCAACUUUAGAUCAUUAGAACCCAUUCGCCAAAAGCCACAAAAUACACCUGAAUUUCUGCAAAUAUGCAAACACAACGGGAGUCCUCUUACAUCUGUGAACUUUACAGUCCUAUUGACCAAACAACCAUGAAAAGAUGUCUAAAAAGACGCAUAAGCCCCACAAGGGAGUGGAUAUCCUGCUAGCAGACAUUUGCCACUGUAGAGGCAGUUUAGGUGGUAUGACCUCUUUCAGAAGUUCAUUAAGCAAAGGUUUUGGGGGCUCAUGUGUCUGCUGCAAGACCAAACCAUAACUUGGCAAGGAAGCCUGCUCAGACACAAGAUGUCCGUAGCCCGGCCAAGUUGUCUACAGCUUCUGUGAGUGCCCCUACCCAUGCUAUGGCCUCUGUGAGUGCCCCUACCCAUGCUAUGGCCUCUCCCGGCUACAGGCCUCUGUGAAGACCAUCUCGCCUUUGUCCCAUACCACCUCUGCUACAGACUUUGUGAAGACCACCACUGUCUCUGUUGUCUCUCAGUGCACCGCUAGCUCUGCUAUAGCCUCUAAGAGGAACUUCAGUACAUAACACACUGUCAUUUCUUAACAAAUAUCAUUACAUCCACUAAAACAAGACAGAAACAAAACUAUGUGUCAGUGUUUUGAUUUGAUGAAGAUAUUGUGAGUAAUCAAAUUAAUCUAUUUUUGUCUUGUUUUGCAUUCUGUUGUCUUUUUCUUUUUCAGGAGAGCUGAUUGGUGUGUGAACUACCUGCUCAGGCAGACUGGGAAAGCCAUGCAGGACAUGAACCCCGACUCGGAGGAGACUGAUUCAAUGAAAUUAUGUUGGACCAACGUGGAAUAGAUGUUGAUUUGACGUCUGUGCCCAGUGGGCUAUUAUCCCUACCACGUUAGAAGUUCAAAACGGCAA